rnacentral:tRNA from 2 species
GUAAGUAUAAUUUAAACAAAAUACUAGAUUGUGAUUCUAGAAAUAGGGGUUAAAGCCCCCUUACUCACC